rnacentral:rRNA from 1 species
CCUACGGGAGGCAGCAGUGAGGAAUCUUGGUCAAUGGACGCAAGUCUGAACCAGCCACGCCGCGUGCAGGAAGACGGCUCUAUGAGUUGUAAACUGCUUUUGUACGAGGGUAAACGCAGAUACGUGUAUCUGUCUGACAGUAUCGUACGAAUAAGGAUCGGCUAACUCCGUGCCAGCAGCCGCGGUAAUACGGAGGAUUCAAGCGUUAUCCGGAUUUAUUGGGUUUAAAGGGAGCGUAGGCGGUCGGAUAAGUUAGAGGUGAAAUCCCGAGGCUCAACUGCGGAAUUGCAUCUGAUACUGUGCGGCUAGAGUGUAGAUGCGGUAGGCGGAAUGUAUGGUGUAGCGGUGAAAUGCUUAGAGAU